rnacentral:tRNA from 2 species
GGGGGUGUAGCUCAGUGGUAGAGCGCAUGCUUCGCAAGUAUGAGGCCCUGGGUUCAAUCCCCGGCAUCUCCA